CAAGCAGCUAAGCUACUACUAUAUAUAUUUCUCCUUGAUCCCUUUCGUCCUGGCAAAAAAUGGAAGUGCAAGCUCGUUUAAAGCCAAAUACUGACCCAAACAUUAUUCACUCAGUGUUCUCUCCUCCUGUGUGGGGUUAUCAUAGCUUCACUUCUUUUUCUAUAUCGGACUCGGAAUAUGAAUCAUGCACUAGCCGGGUGGAAAUGCUCAAAGAAAAGGUCAAAGACAUGUUCAUGGCUGAUGCUAGUAAUCCGAUCAAGAAAAUUGAGUUGAUCAACUUAUUAUGUCGUCUUGGUUUAUCAUAUCAUUUUGAGAAUGAAAUUGAAGAACAGUUAAUUGAUCUUUUUAAUUGUCUUCCUCAACUUUUUGCUGAUAAUGAUUAUGAUCUCUACACUACUGCUCUUUUUUUUAAAGUCUUGAGACAACACGGAUUUAAAAUGACUUCUGAUGCGUUCAAGAAAUUCAAGGCCAGCAAUGGAGAGUUCAAGAAGAGCAUCAUCAAAGAUGUGAGAGGCAUUCUUAGCUUGUAUGAAGCAAGUUUUAUGAGUACGCAUGGAGAAGAUAUUCUCGAUGAAGCACUUGAAUUUACAAGGUCACACCUGGAGUCGUUGGCUAUGCAAUCAAGCCCUCAUUAUGCAGAACUUAUAAAGAAUGCUCUGAUCCUUCCCUUUCACAAAGGCGUACCGAGAGUGGAGGCUAGGCAAUAUAUCUCUUUCUAUGAAAAAGAUGAGUCUCGAAAUGAAACAUUACUCGAAUUUGCAAAAUUAGAUUUCAAUCGAGUGCAAUUAUUGCACAGAAAAGAGCUCAAGGAGAUAGCAAGGUGGUGGGAAGAGUUGAAACUUGCAGAGAAACUUCCGUAUGCAAGAGACAGAAUUGUGGAAAUCUAUUUCUGGGCAUGUUCCAAUCAGUUCGAGCCUCAUCUUGCUCUUUUAAGGAUGACGAUGGCCAAGUAUUUGAAAAUGGUAUCUCUGGCUGAUGACACGUACGAUGCAUAUGCUACAAUGGAAGAAGUCAAUGCCUUCACAGAUGCUUUUGAGAGGUGCACUAUUGAUGCUACUGAUAAAUUGCCAGAUUACAUGAAAGUUUUCUACAAGGAAUUAUUGAAUGUUUUUGAGGAAACAGAAAAUAUUACGAGCAUGGAAGGAAGAUCUUAUUGUGCCUAUUACGGGAAGGAAGAAUUUAAAAACUUGUUGAGAUCCUACCGCGUUGAGGCACAAUGGUUUAAUGAUGGCUACGUCCCAGCAUUGGAUGUUUAUUUGCCCAAUGGUUGUGAGUCGAGCAGCUACGGCGUAGCUGCAGUGGCAGGCUUUGUUGGAAUGGAAAAGAUUGCAGGGAUCAAGGAAUAUGAGUGGCUUCAAAGUAACCCAAAAAUUCUCAAAGCUGUCAAGGUAAUUGGGCGUCUUUUGAACGACAUAGCAUCCCACCAGGAUGAGCAAAAGAGAGGAGACGCUGCUUCCGCGGUAGAGUGCUACAUGAAAGAACAUGAUGUUACAGAGAAGGCGGCUGUGGAAGAGAUUCUUAAAAUUUGUAGAAAUGCAUGGAAGGACAUCAACGAGGAAUGCAUGAGGCCAACUGCUCUACCUAGGCCUAUUCUCCAAUUCUUUGUUAACCUCGCUCGAGUAUCAGAGGUUGUUUACAGGUUCGACGAUUCCUACACCAACCCAUCAAGUCUCAAAGAUAAAAUUACAGCAUUGUUUAUGGAGCCACUUCCUUUGCAAGACCAAGUUAAUAUACAAUAAAUACAUUGAGCUGAGCUUCCUAUAUAUGUCCCUUCCUCUGCUUGGCUUGGUUAAUUGUCUGUGUGUCGGAAAGGAAAGAAUAAAUUAUAAAGUGAUGUUUGCUUUGCUAUCAGUUGCUGUAAAAUUUAAUAAAAUGGUCGAGAGGCCUGGUGCUAUUAUA
rnacentral:misc_RNA from 1 species